GCACAGAUCCAGGCCUCAGAAGUGCUCAUCAUGUCAUGUGGCUGGAUCCUAAUUAAUUUCCAGGCUUUGGCCGUGGGAGCCCUCUGUGAAUGAGUGGCAUGGUACUCCCACUGGGAUGUGGAUUCCAAGGGUUUCACUGCUGGAAUCAGCUAUUGGGGAUGGGGAGUUAUGGUAGCCAUUGAAUUCUAGAACGGAAAUGGAGGGAGCCUGGAGAUGCCUUCUCUACGCAUAAAAGCUGUUGCCACUCACGUCUUAGGGGUUUCUUCCGUGAAAUGUAUUCAACGAGGAAGUGCUGAGGCCCGCAGUGCCUUGCCCUGGCCUGGGGGUGAUGAUUCAGCGGGAGAACCCUGGUUGAGACGGCCUCCGUCUGGGGCUUGUUCAGGGAGGGUUGCUGCCCUCUUGGCUGACUGUCCACGCCGCGGUCCGGGAGCAAGGCUGCACCCAGCAAUGCUGUUUUGUGCUAAGAGGGACCUGGAGGACUGUGAAAAGGAGGCUCCUCCCACCACCUCCCCAGGUCUGGAUGCGUUCUGGGGAACAGGAGAGCAAGCCUCAGCGCCCAGGAAGCCCCGUGUGGCAGAGGCCCCAGGACACAGAUGAAUGAGGUGUCGGAUGAGGAAGCUGGAGCUUGGAGGGCGAGGCCCUGGGCACCGAGGGCGUCAUGAGACUGGAGGAUUCCGCUGGUCCAGCAGGACGAAGCCGCCCUUCCCAACUGCAGUCGGCGUCUGUCCUGUGCGUGUGUCCAGGUACAUGAGCCAGAAGGAGGUCUCCACAAGGACCCAGCUCUCUUCUGCCCGACCCCAUUAAGCACCUGCCCUUCACAUGCGGGGAGCAGACACCAACAGAGAUGACGGGUGACACUGUCUUGAAAAUGGUCACCAGACACAGCCUCCAGGCCACGUGGCAGGGCCACACAUCCAUGGCCGCUACUCUGGGUGACACACACUCCCUUGGGAUCCUGGGGAUGGACUGAGCCCAAAGCCCCAGCCUGUGCCUGGUUUCCUCUGCUGGUCCACACCUCAGUCCUGCCCUGUCCCAGGGAAUCUGAGCCCCAGCCUGUGCCUGAUUUCCUCUGCUGCCAUCCCUGCUGGUCCACACCUCAGUCCUGCCCUGUCCCAGGGAAUCUGAGCCCCAGCCUGUGCCUGAUUUCCUCUGCUGCCAUCCCUGCUGGUCCACACCUCAGUCCUGCCCUGUCCCAGGGAAUCUGAGCCCCAGCUAGAAUUCUAAUUCAGUGUGUACAGGAAUGUUCCGAAACCCUUUGCGUGGGGCCGUCAGACACAGAGCGGCAGUGGGGACCCCGGAAUGAGGGUGUCCUGCUGAGGGCUGGCCGUGUUGGUGGUGGGGCCUGGCUUGGAGGGGGCUGUGUCCAGGGUCACACGAGGCCAGCCUGGCCUGUUCCUGCUCCUGCUCUGUGACACUUGCCACCUCCCCAACUCCCCGUGCCAGCUCCUCAGCUGGAAGCUUCAGAUCAGCAUCCCCCACGGGUCCCGUUGGGUCUUUGGUGAGCUCUCUGGCUUCUUAGCACCCCCACCAUGCUUCUCCCACAGCCGUCACACCUCUAACAGCAGCCCGCAGCAGAGCAAUUUGACAUUUUGGGGAAAAAAAAAACCGAGAAAAUGAGCAUCAGAGACGCACUUGGUGGUGGAGCCGAGGGUCUGUCUCCCACACGUAGGCCUGUGCUGCCUGUGGAGUGGGCUGGCCCUCAUGGAGAUGCUCCCUCCCUUGUGGUCAGGAGCAGGCUCAAGCCCAUCUGGGUCUGGGCAUGCUUUGCUGGGUGAGAAAGAGGGUGGAACAGAGCCCCCAGGCUCUCCUCUGUGAAGGAGACCCCCACAGACGCCAGGUCCCCAGCGAGGCCGUGGAUUGCGUUUUCAGAGGCAGCUGCUCCCCCGCCCAAGCUCUGCUCCAGGCGGGCAGGGAUCUGUGAGACUGGCUGUUCCGAUUUCCCCAGAGCUGCAGGGCCUGGCCCA